UAGAUAAGUCUCGGAGCAUAUG
rnacentral:rRNA from 1 species